rnacentral:lncRNA from 1 species
GGCUUUCUGUAUUCUAUGCCUUUUAUUUAUAAAGACACUAAAAAAAAAACAUGUUUGUAAUUUUAAUAACAUUUCCCCCAUCUUGUAAUAUCCAGAGCUACUUUAUAAAUUCUCUAAACCAAAAGCAUUUUCAUUUCUGAGUUUUCUGAAUUUUUUCCCGAGAGAUUACACAGGAGACUCAGGAAAGUCUAUUUGUUCAUCAAGUUCCACUGUUAACACUGCUCUAUGGGUGAAGUGGUGGCAAGAAGACUGGCUUGUGUGCUGACU